GCAGUGACUUGUGGACGUCUCUUCUGACCUUGCUGAACCUUGCACUUAAUGUCCAGGCUCUGCUAGCUCCUGGGCAUGUCACAGCUGCCCCCACUUAGAGGAAGGUGCAGCCUGAAUCCAGGAGAGCCCCACUGAUUGCCUCCACUGGCUGCUCCCUGAAUAAAAUGAUGCCCCUCCUACACCCAGUGGGGCAAACCCCAACCUUGCAGGGCCAAGGAGAGAGGGAAGAAGAGAGCCUCUGUUCCCUCCAUUCUCCCUGUUUUGGACUUUGGCAGGUUGAGAGCUACAAUUAGAGCCAGUGUUUAUGGUGCUGGCCAUAUGGCUCGCGAUGCAAAACAGCAGCUGCAUGGGAAUCUCGAGAGGAGCCCUCCCCAAGGUCACGGCGCACAAGGGAGCGCGUGCCCACCCAGGUGGGACACAGGAGCCUGCCACCACUUGAUCUAUGACCGCACACGUACUGAUCGAGCACCUCUGAUGCAAACUAAUGCCAGAGCAGCUGCAAAGCACCAAUCGUGUCGCAAAAACAUCCACUUCGCAGAGCAUCAGGGACAUGGGAACGUCAGCGGCUUCUGCCUCCUUCCAGAGACCAGCUGCAAGUUCCUGAAAACAAGGAGGGAGAUGAGCCAAAGUCACCCAGAAGCUUACAGUGCCUUAAAUGCAAGCUCUAGGUCAGCACUGGGAUGAAGAUUUCCCUUUCACUGGGGGGUCAUCUAGAGGGAUUUUGUCUGGGUACCACUCAUGGAGAGCCACGUGAGGUAGGGGCUCUCACAGCAGCAAACAUCUUGCUGUCCCGAAUCAGGGCACUUUCUGCCCAUUCUGUUUCUGCAGUGACCCUCCCCUUUCCAUCCCAAAGAUAUGUGAAAACAUGACCACCACUGUGGCCCCUCGUCUGAUUGAUAGUCUUAGCUGUGUCAUCCACGAACACAAGGUAAAAAAUCCCAUUACUGCAAUCACAAAUGCAUUACACCCAUAUCUAAAGAGCAGAGAUUCAUUCCAGAUUAGGUAGAUUUUUUUUUCUUAAGGAGGGAUAGUGUUUAAAUCACAAUUUUUCUGUAGAAAUAGCCCUGUAAAAAACAACCUGAGCAUCUUCUGCACCCAGAUGCCUUUCAGGAAACCUACACCAAGCUAGCCAAGCUGGGAUUUCCUUCAGGCUCUCUUGUGACAUUACCAGAUACGCUUUUAAAGAUGUCACAUGCAUAAAAGAGCAAGUAUGUGACCUGACUGAAGCAGGCAUUUCCCAGGCUGUUUAUCACCCUCCAAUAAAUGAAUGAGAGCAUUUGAUGCUUACAGGCUCUAACCAGCCCAGAAGGUCACUCUCUGGGACUGCUGCCAACUGCCCUGCUCUUCCCAGAGAGCAGAAAAGUACAUGUCCCAGAGUCUGACACACGGGCCAGUGAGCUGCUCAUCAUCAUGCAGGAAGCCAGCGAGCUCUCCAUAUCACAUCACAGAGCCCAUCUCUGAAAUGCACCCGUUGCUGCACUUCCAGGAUGUCCCCAUUUAACAGUGUGGCAACACCACACAGCAGUGUGGGGACUGAGGAAGGCUACUUGCCUGUCUGAAGCCACUGAAAGAAGUUAGUCCAAUGCUUGUCUUUCUGCAGGACACAGCCCCCCAGCCCUUGCCAGUCUGACCGGGACCUCAGGCUUUAAAUCUCACCCAAAAAACAUUAGGCAAGAUCUUGUCUGCCUGUGUUAAGGAUUGCUCCCUUAAACCAAAUCUGUAUGUGAAGGUGUUGGAGAGGUUUCCCUGCUGAGCACUCCAAUCCCAAAGUUGUUAUCUAUAGUACCAUGUUCAGUCUCCAUAUGGUGCUCACAAAGAGUAAAAGAAAUGGGUAGAGGAUGGUACAUAUACAAUGUCUCAUAAUAUUAUGCAAAAGGUUUUAUCAA